GACGAACGCUGGCGGCGUGCUUAACACAUGCAAGUCGAACGGAAAGGCCCUGCUUGCAGGGUGCUCGAGUGGCGAACGGGUGAGUAACACGUGGGUGAUCUGCCCCUUACUUUGGGAUAAGCCCGGGAAACUGGGUCUAAUACUGGAUAGGACCAUGCUGUAGGUGGUGUGGUGGAAAGAUUAGUUUCGGUAAGGGAUGAGCUCGCGGCCUAUCAGCUUGUUGGUGGGGUAAUGGCCUACCAAGGCGUCGACGGGUAGCCGGCCUGAGAGGGUGGACGGCCACAUUGGGACUGAGAUACGGCCCAGACUCCUACGGGGGGCAGCAGUGGGGAAUAUUGCACAAUGGGCGCAAGCCUGAUGCAGCGACGCCGCGUGGGGGACGACGGCCUUCGGGUUGUAAACUCCUUUCAGCCAUGACGAAGCCCUUGUGGUGACGGUAGUGGUAGAAGAAGCACCGGCUAACUACGUG
rnacentral:rRNA from 1 species